rnacentral:rRNA from 1 species
GAUGAACGCUAGCGGCAGGCUUAAUACAUGCAAGUCAAGGGGAUAGCAAUACAACCGGCGCACGGGUGAGUAACGCGUACACAACAUACCAUAUACUGGAGUAUAGCUUCGGGAAACUGAAGGUAAUCCUCCAUAACAUUGCGAGAAGGCAUCUAAUUGUCAAUUAAAGUUUCGACGGUAUAUGAUUGGUGUGCGUUUGAUUAGCUAGUUGGUAGGGUAACGGCCUACCAAGGCGACGAUCAAUAGCUGGCGUGAGAGCGCGACCAGCCACACUGGAACUGAGACACGGUCCAGACUCCUACGGGAGCAGCAGUAGGGAAUAUUGGACAAUGGGC